UACGUAGGGGGCGAGCGUUAUCCGGAUUCACUGGGUGUAAAGGGAGCGUAGACGGCCAAGCAAGCCAGGGGUGAAGGCCCGGGGCCCAACCCCGGGACUGCCCUUGGAACUGCAUGGCUGGAGUGCGGGAGGGGCAGGCGGAAUUCCUGGUGUAGCGGUGAAAUGCGUAGAUAUCAGGAGGAACACCGGCGGCGAAGGCGGCCUGCUGGACCGCGACUGACGUUGAGGCUCGAAAGCGUGGGGAGCGAACAGG
rnacentral:rRNA from 1 species